rnacentral:rRNA from 1 species
UUGACGUUAGCGACAGAAGAAGCACCGGCUAACUCCGUGCCAGCAGCCGCGGUAAUACGGAGGGUGCGAGCGUUAAUCGGAAUUACUGGGCGUAAAGGGCACGCAGGCGGUUAAUUAAGUUGGAUGUGAAAUCCCCGGGCUUAACCUGGGAAUGGCAUUCAAGACUGGUUAGCUAGAGUCUUGUAGAGGGGGGUAGAAUUCCAUGUGUAGCGGUGAAAUGCGUAGAGAUGUGGAGGAAUACCGGUGGCGAAGGCGGCCCCCUGGACAAAGACUGACGCUCAUGUGCGAAAGCGUGGGGAGCAAACAGGAUUAGAUACCCUGGUAGUCCACGCUGUAAACGAUGUCGAUUUGGAGGUUGUGGUCAAGAACUGUGGCCUCCGGAGCUAACGCGUUAAAUCGACCGCCUGGGGAGUACGGCCGCAAGGUUAAAACUCAAAUGAAUUGACGGGGGCCCGCACAAGCGGUGGAGCAUGUGGUUUAAUUCGAUGCAACGCGAAGAAC